AGGGCUCCGGAUGGUGGUGGUUGUGAUGAUGAUGGUGGAGAAUAUACAGGAAGUGGUAUGGUUGAAAUGUUUCCAAUUUAGGGAAGUGUUAGUGAGAUUGAAACUUAUGAACGUAUGAGGAACCAUCCUGAGCAUGCUUUGCUAUUCCAGAAAAUAUCAUAUAGAAGUGUCUUAUUUUGAUCAUAAAAUCUCCACAUAAAUCUCUUCCUAGACUUCUUGAUUUGAAACCAAAGUGCUGUUACUAAAACUCAGAUGAAGCUGGAAAAAAUUUGAACUGCCGGGACUAUUUUUUGAUUAACAAGUAAUAACAUUAAUUAGCUUUUCAUUAAGUUGAAGCCCACAAUAUACUUACAUAAAUGAACAUCUUUCAGUAGAUCAAAUGUGAGUUAUCACAUGUUGCUGGAGGGUAGUUUUGCAUGGAAAGUCCAAUAAAAACAAGAGCAAAGUGAUCGUUUCUGAGAAGAAGAAUUCUAGAUAGUAUUUCUUGAAUCUUUGGUCCUCUGUAACUUCUUGUUUUCAUUAAAUUCGCUGUUCUUUUUAUUCUUGACGUAAUGGGGAUAAGGCGGAGCAGCUUCCGAAUUCCAACACUAAAAGCCAUACGAUAUUCCUCAGAUUGUAGUGGAUCCAGUUUGUUAAUAAUGCUCGAGUUUCUUGUCUGACUUCCAGUGGAUAUUACAGAAUACGUCCACCACAGAAUUGAGGGGAAGGUUCUGCUUAUCUCAAUUGAUUAGAUGAAAGGAAUUAUACGCAGGUGGAAGAUAGAGGUGGGAAAGUUGUAAACUGGUUGGUGUGCUGUUUUGAUACUCGAUGGGAAGGAAUUGAGGGGAAGAAUAUAUUAAAAUGAGCCUCCCUUCAAUCUUUUCCAAACCAAGAUCAACACCAAAUUCUAGUUACAUCAAAACUUCUACAAGAAAAGAUAAACGACGAAGGAUCAUCAGAUCGUGCUGGGUCGAGUGUGUUGCGAGCAACAGACCAUCUUUUUCAGAUGCAAAAUUAUGAGGAGAGAACGCAGCGAGCUGCUUUCUUUCAGGAAGUCAUCCUGUCAACUAUUUUCUAGGCUUGUCUGUUCUCUAUGUAAUACAACACAAUUUGGAUAUCAGGUUACUCUUAAUGGUGGAAGACACUACAGUUUGCCUUGACGUCAGUCAAAUAGGCUUGGUUACAUAUUGGCAUUGUAUGUUUGUAAUGAAUUGACUUAUAAGCAAUCAUAAUACCAGAUAAUGCAUCAGUAUUCUUUUA